rnacentral:rRNA from 1 species
UCCAGACUCCUACGGGAGGCAGCAGUGGGGAAUAUUGCGCAAUGGGCGCAAGCCUGAUGCAGCCAUGCCGCGUGUAUGAAGAAGGCCUUCGGGUUGUAAAGUACUUUCAGCGGGGAGGAAGGCGAUAAGGUUAAUAACCUUGUCGAUUGACGUUACCCGCAGAAGAAGCACCGGCUAACUCCGUGCCAGCAGCCGCGGUAAUACGGAGGGUGCAAGCGUUAAUCGGAAUUACUGGGCGUAAAGCGCACGCAGGCGGUCUGUCAAGUCGGAUGUGAAAUCCCCGGGCUCAACCUGGGAACUGCAUUCGAAACUGGCAGGCUGGAGUCUUGUAGAGGGGGGUAGAAUUCCAGGUGUAGCGGUGAAAUGCGUAGAGAUCUGGAGGAACACCGGUGGCGAAGGCGGCCUGCUGGACUGCGACUGACGUUGAGGCCCGAAAGCGUGGGGAGCAAACAGGAUUAGAUACCCCAGUAACG